rnacentral:rRNA from 1 species
UGGGGAAUAUUGCACAAUGGGCGGAAGCCUGAUGCAGCAACGCCGCGUGCGGGAUGACGGCCUUCGGGUUGUAAACCGCUUUCACCUGUGACGAAUUCAGACGGUAGCAGGAGAAGAAGCACCGGCUAACUACGUGCCAGCAGCCGCGGUGAUACGUAGGGUGCGAGCGUUGUCCGGAUUUAUUGGGCGUAAAGAGCUCGUAGGUGGUUUGUUGCGUCGGGAGUGAAAACACACGGCUUAACUGUGUGCUUGCUUUCGAUACGGGCAGACUUGAGGAAGGUAGGGGAGAACGGAAUUCCUGGUGGAGCGGUGGAAUGCGCAGAUAUCAGGAGGAACACCGGUGGCGAAGGCGGUUCUCUGGACCUUUCCUGACGCUGAGGAGCGAAAGCGUGGGGAGCAAACAGGCUUAGAUACCCUGGUA